rnacentral:lncRNA from 1 species
GCCCUCCUUCCAGCUGUCACCUUGACCCUUGGCCCACCUCCCCGUCAAGCAUAAAAACGUGCACAAAGAACACAGGAUUUGGAUUUGCACAGAUUGUGGCUUUAAAUCUAGGUUGUGUGACCUUGAACAAAUUGUCCAACCUCUUGGCGUCAGGUUCCUUGUCCUUAAAGUGACUUGGGAGGAUUAGCGAUGACGCGUAAAACGCGUAGCACGGUGCCUGGUACAACGCGAGUUCGCAGCUAUUUUCACUCCCAACUAGCAGUGAUUGGAGCUGGGCCCCCCUCUUCCCGCCCCAGACUCGGCCCAACCUGGUUCGGGAGCUGCCUGUCUCCAGCCGCGAAAGGGGGAGGCGUCCCGGAGCAGCCGACCAGCCGCCCAGCCGACGGUCUCGCGCUCCGAUUUCCUCACCGUAUGAAAUGAAAUUCCACAGGGGGAUUCAAAAGGAAAUGAGACCGGGACGCUCCGUGCUGCUCGGCCCGCCGCCCUUCCUGUCUUGGGGACACGGUUUCUAAAUAAGGUUGGGAUGGUGAGAGGGCGGGAGGGGGGAGGCUUGACCUGUGUGCUGGGGGCAAGAAGCACAAGCACCAGGACUCUCCCUUCCCCAGCCUCCUGGCCCUACUUCCCUUCAACCUGCGCUCCUUUCUUUCUUAUCCUGCUUCUGUGUGGUUCUGGGGAUCUGGAGAUCUUGCGACCUGGGUACCCAUUUAACUUUCCUUUUGCAUUCUCAACCUCAGGGGCUUUGUGUGCUCUACCCUCUCUCUGCUUUACCGUUAGCCGGUGAAACUCCCAGCAGGUGGAUUCCUAAACCGUUUACUUGUUGCCUGACUGUGGUGGAGCAACUGUGCCUCUCCAAGCCUCAAACUAACAUCUGGCCAACUUCUGAGGGAAGUUCAUGUCUACCUCACACAGUUGUUGAGAGAGUUAACUGAGAUAACGCCUGUAAGUCAUUUUGCACAAUGUCUGGCACAUAGUAAAUGGCACAAUAGUAAAUGCUGAAUAACUUGGUUAUUGUUGGGUUUUGGGUUUUGUUUUCUUCUGGGACCACUAGACAAGGUCAGUUAUAGGACAACCUCCUACUUUCCAGACGUGUUAAAGACAUCUCUGGCAGCCCAGGUCUGAGGAUAUGGGUAGAGGGAUUUCUACCCUCUUCCUGAGACCUUUUUGUUCAACACUUGCCACUGUUUUCCUGGGGCUUUUUAUACCCUCCCAUUUCAGCUGAUUCUUGGCACGUAGCAGGGAGUAGGUAUAAAUUGGAGGAAUGCACCAUUAAUGUAGUGCUCAUAUUUUGUCGUAUAUUUUUAGUUUUCUUAUAUUACCAACUCAACUUGACUGAGGGCAAGAAUGUAAUCAACUUCAUUUGGUGUUUGGCUUUGUGCCUAGAACUAAUUCGCAGGUCUGUGGUCAUGGUCAUAACCUCCCUGUGAAGGAGGCUGUAUAUCAGCCCCUUAAGGAGAUUAGCAAACUGAGGCUAGAACCAAAGUAAGAGAAAAUGACAGGACCAACCAGAUCAUGGCCCAAUGGAAGCCCUUCAAAGAAGGAAAUCAACAUUAUUUCCCCAGAAAAAGUCCCCAUGUGGAUAUCAAUGUACUCAGCAGUAAGGUUGAAUCUUUGGCUUGAAGCACUUAUGCUGAGACCAUUAGACCAUUAGACCACAUGAGACCAUUAGCCUACACAGAAGAAUAGAUAACCAGAUGAACAGAGCAAAUUAUCUAUUAAUUAUUUGGGCUACAGAGAUGAACAUAUCAAGUGAAGAGAUUAAAUAAAUACCCGAUCCCCAUCCUCUAGGAUCACACAGGAGACAAAGAAUAAACAAACAUCAGUAAUGUUUGUUUAUUACAUUUACCAUCAGUGUGGUAAAUGUGCAGAUAGAGAAUUGUGGGUAAAUCACAGGUGGAGGUAGCUGAGUUUGGAGGGCUACUCAACGGGGCUGACCUGCAGAAUUCUGAGCCAUUGAACAAAGCAGUUAGUGUGAAAUUGGCCCUUCUCCUAGAGCAGGAAGGGGAGGGAGGCAUGCUCCCUGCUAAAGGCACAUGUGUAUGGUUUAUGAAGGAAUGAACUCUCCGCAGUCAAGAGGAGGACCUGCUCCUCACACAGGGCACACAGAGAAGACAUCAUGAGUGCUGAGUGAAAGAAUGCUAUUACCAACUCAAUAAAAAUAAAAGAGAACUCAUGUAGAACCCUGACUCUGAGCCAAGCACUGUGUUCCAUGACUUACAUUCAUUUCAUUUAUUUCUCACAACCUGAGAAGAUAUGUUUUGAGAGGUCAAGCAAUUUACCCAAGAUCACAUAGUAAGUGGUGGAGAAGGCUCAGAUGCAAAUGGACCUGGCCCUAAACUGUGUGUGUGUUACUGCUCUCAUAGAGGAAACUGCUUAACACCUAGCCUAAUCCACAGGUAAAGAUGAC